rnacentral:sRNA from 2 species
CGCUUCGCUCGUGUGCAGUGAAAAUCCUUUUUUGCCGAGGCUGGUCACAAAAGAUUGGAACUUAUAGCGGGAAAAGCU